rnacentral:rRNA from 1 species
GCACAGGCUGUGAACUCGAAGAGUAGGGCGGGACACGUGGUAUCCUGUCUGAAUAUGGGGGGACCAUCCUCCAAGGCUAAAUACUCCUGACUGACCGAUAGUGAACCAGUACCGUGAGGGAAAGGCGAAAAGAACCCCGGCGAGGGGAGUGAAAAAGAACCUGAAACCGUGUACGUACAAGCAGUGGGAGCACCUUCGGGUGUGACUGCGUACCUUUUGUAUAAUGGGUCAGCGACUUAUAUUCUGUAGCAAGGUUAACCGUAUAGGGGAGCCGCAGGGAAACCGAGUCUUAACUGGGCGUUAAGUUGCAGGGUAUAGACCCGAAACCCGGUGAUCUAGCCAUGGGCAGGUUGAAGGUUGGGUAACACUAACUGGAGGACCGAACCGACUAAUGUUGAAAAAUUAGCGGAUGACUUGUGGCUGGGGGUGAAAGGCCAAUCAAACCGGGAGAUAGCUGGUUCUCCCCGAAAGCUAUUUAGGUAGCGCCUCGUGAAUUCAUCUUCGGGGGUAGAGCACUGUUUCGGCUAGGGGGUCAUCCCGACUUACCAACCCGAUGCAAACUACGAAUACCGAAGAAUGUUAUCACGGGAGACACACGGCGGGUGCUAACGUCCGUCGUGAAGAGGGAAACAACCCAGACCGCCAGCUAAGGUCCCAAAGUCAUGGUUAAGUGGGAAACGAUGUGGGAAGGCACAGACAGCCAGGAUGUUGGCUUAGAAGCAGCCAUCAUUUAAAGAAAGCGUAAUAGCUCACUGGUCGAGUCGGCCUGCGCGGAAGAUGUAACGGGGCUAAACCAUGCACCGAAGCUGCGGCAGCGACACUAUGUGUUGUUGGGUAGGGGAGCG